rnacentral:rRNA from 1 species
GCAAGUCGAACGAGUUCUGAUUAUUGAAAGGUGCUUGCAUCUUGAUUUAAUUUUGAACGAGUGGCGGACGGGUGAGUAACACGUGGGUAACCUGCCCUUAAGUGGGGGAUAACAUUUGGAAACAGAUGCUAAUACCGCAUAAAUCCAAGAACCGCAUGGUUCUUGGCUGAAAGAUGGCGUAAGCUAUCGCUUUUGGAUGGACCCGCGGCGUAUUAGCUAGUUGGUGAGGUAACGGCUCACCAAGGCAAUGAUACGUAGCCGAACUGAGAGGUUGAUCGGCCACAUUGGGACUGAGACACGGCCCAAACUCCUACGGGAGGCAGCAGUAGGGAAUCUUCCACAAUGGACGCAAGUCUGAUGGAGCAACGCCGCGUGAGUGAAGAAGGCUUUCGGGUCGUAAAACUCUGUUGUUGGAGAAGAAUGGUCGGCAGAGUAACUGUUGUCGGCGUGACGGUAUCCAACCAGAAAGCCACGGCUAACUACGUGCCAGCAGCCGCGGUAAUACGUAGGUGGCAAGCGUUAUCCGGAUUUAUUGGGCGUAAAGCGAGCGCAGGCGGUUUUUUAAGUCUGAUGUGAAAGCCCUCGGCUUAACCGAGGAAGUGCAUCGGAAACUGGGAAACUUGAGUGCAGAAGAGGACAGUGGAACUCCAUGUGUAGCGGUGAAAUGCGUAGAUAUAUGGAAGAACACCAGUGGCGAAGGCGGCUGUCUGGUCUGUAACUGACGCUGAGGCUCGAAAGCAUGGGUAGCGAACAGGAUUAGAUACCCUGGUAGUCCAUGCCGUAAACGAUGAAUGCUAGGUGUUGGAGGGUUUCCGCCCUUCAGUGCCGCAGCUAACGCAUUAAGCAUUCCGCCUGGGGAGUACGACCGCAAGGUUGAAACUCAAAGGAAUUGACGGGGGCCCGCACAAGCGGUGGAGCAUGUGGUUUAAUUCGAAGCAACGCGAAGAACCUUACCAGGUCUUGACAUCUUUUGAUCACCUGAGAGAUCAGGUUUCCCCUUCGGGGGCAAAAUGACAGGUGGUGCAUGGUUGUCGUCAGCUCGUGUCGUGAGAUGUUGGGUUAAGUCCCGCAACGAGCGCAACCCUUAUGACUAGUUGCCAGCAUUUAGUUGGGCACUCUAGUAAGACUGCCGGUGACAAACCGGAGGAAGGUGGGGAUGACGUCAAAUCAUCAUGCCCCUUAUGACCUGGGCUACACACGUGCUACAAUGGAUGGUACAACGAGUUGCGAGACCGCGAGGUCAAGCUAAUCUCUUAAAGCCAUUCUCAGUUCGGACUGUAGGCUGCAACUCGCCUACACGAAGUCGGAAUCGCUAGUAAUCGCGGAUCAGCACGCCGCGGUGAAUACGUUCCCGGGCCUUGUACACACCGCCCGUCACACCAUGAGAGUUUGUAACACCCGAAGCCGGUGGCGUAACCCUUUUAGGGAGCGAGCC